AAGGAGUAUAAAUAAAUACUGAUCACCACAAGCAAAAAUCCCCUUCCCAGUUCCCACCCUCUCACAUCCACACCAGCGGAAAAUAGUAGUAAUCCCCGCCGCCCAACCCCCACCCUCCCCGGCGCGUGCGCUUGCGAUGCUUCCGCGCCGGCGUCGGCCACGGGUGGUGCAGUGAUGGUGGGCUUCUUCCGCAGCGGCAACCUUGCCUCAAGGGUGUUCGACCGGCAGUUUCUCUCUCCGCGCCCCGGCGCAACCGUUAAUACUGUCAGACAAUUCUAUGAGAAUUUGGUUCCAAGUUACACUAUAUACGACAUAGAUUGUCCAGACUAUUCAUUUCGCAAGUUCACCGAUGAUGGCAAGUAUCUUGUGGCCUUUAGUCGAAACCACCAAGAUUUGAUUGUGUACCGUCCCAUCUGGUUAACGUUUUCAUGCCACGAAGAAUGUGAUGCUCAUGAUCUUCCGGCCAAUGCAGAGAGAUUUGAGAGUUUCUUUAAGCAGCUCUACUCAAUCUCACUUGCAUCCAGCAAUGAGUACAUUUGUGAGGACUUUUUCCUUUACAUGGAGGGCCAUCAAUAUGGCUUAUUUGCAACGUCAACUGCACGAAGUAAUGAAUCAAGUGUCACUGAGGGUGCAAUUCACGGGGUACCAUCAAUUGAGAAAAUAACUUUCUAUCUUGUAAGGCUAGAAGAUGGUGCAAUACUAGACGAGAAAGCUUUCUGCAAUGAUUUUAUCAAUUUGGCUCAUAGUAUUGGUGCAUACUUGUAUGAGGAUCUGGUUUGCAUUGUCUCUCUUCGAUAUCAAACAAUACAUGUCCUACAAAUCCGAGAUUCAGGCAGCCUUGUUGAGGUACGGAGAAUUGGUGCAUUUUGCCGGGAAGAUGACGAACUAUUUCUUUAUUCACAUGGCCAGGCUGCACAAGGGAGUUCUUUUCUUCCUGGCAUCAAGCAACGGUUGCUAUCAUUUAUUUUCCACAAGACAUGGAAUGAGGAACCUGAUCAGGCUUUGAGGGUCCAGCACCUGAAGAAGAAAUUUUAUUUUCACUUUCAAGACUAUGUGGAUCUUAUCAUAUGGAAGGUACAGUUUUUGGAUCGCCAUCACCUAUUUAUCAAGUUUGGUAGUGUCAAUGGAAGGGUUACUCGAAGCACUGAUCAAAACCUAGCAUUCUUUGCUGUGUACAACAUGGAGACGACAGAGAUUGUGUCACUCUAUCAGAAUUCUUCGGAGGAGCUGUAUUCAUUGUUUGAACAUUAUUAUGAUCAUUUCCAUGCAAAUCCUCAAAAUUCUUUGCAUGAGAAAUUUAUCUCGUCCAAUCCCAAUAGUGUUCAUGCUCUUGAUCAACUCCGCACCAUUAAAAGUAAAGCAAGCAGCCCCUCACAGUUUGUGAAAAAGAUGAUGGCGUCAUUGCCUUACACUUGCCAAUCACAAAGUCCUUCACCAUACUUUGAUCUGUCAAUUUUUCGUUAUGAUGAGAAGUUGGGAGAGUGAAGAUGCAGCUACAUUGCCAUUGAGAGGGGUGGUUGCUGGCGAUCUGAGGAAAGAGAAAUGAGAGAGUAGGUGCGGUUGGCAUGAAGGAAAAGAGUGGUGCGGUAUUAAAUUUUUAGUUCAAUUUAUUUUGAUGAGAUCGGCGCUGAGAGAAGCAGUGGCAGGCGAUUCAAAUCGGGAAGCUGUUUUCAGCAAUUGAUCGGCAUAGGCAUUGCACAGAGCAUCCGAUAAAAUUUAUAUCAGUGAGGCAACCAAAUGUCGUCAAAUUUAAGAUAAAACCAGGGUCAGAUUCUGGUGCUUCCGACAGCCGCGGAAAAAGAAUCUCUUCCUUGUUUCACCCAUUUUUCCCGCUUGCACUGUCGAUUCAGCAGACAAAUAUGCAGCCAACUGUUGUCAAUGUACAUUUCAGGAGAUAGAAAUAUUAUAGUCGUUGCCUCAA